UUCAAGAAAGUUUCAAUGGCUUAGUGGUAACUGUCCUAUAUUAAUGUCAUAAUAACCCGGGUUCGAUCCUUUCCUUCGAAUUGUUUUUCAUUUUUUACGAAAAAAUAAAUGAAAUGACGUGGCAAUUUCAGGCUCUCUGAUUGGUUGAUUUUUUUAUCCUACGUGGACACCCUCUCCAUGGCUUAUAUUUGCCUUUUAGUAUAGUAUAGAUACGUCUGCAUCGUUCAAAUAAACGGUUAAUGAUCAUUCUCUGCAAUUUUUCGGGCAACUUCAUUCGUGUAAUUUUUAUACGUCAUGUAAGACUAUUUUUUUUUUACAGAGAUUGUAGCUACAAUUCAGGAUUGUUACAUUCUUUUUUUUUUGAACUAAAAGAAUUGUUACAUUCUUUCGACUAGCUUUCUCUAAGACCAUGAUUAACUUCAGUCUCUUAACUAAGGUUCUUAGUUUCGGCUAAGAAAUGGUUCUUAACUUUUAUUAGAUUUUAAUUAAAGAAGCUAAGAACUGUCUCUUAAAUAAGAGAUAUAAAAAUCGUCUAAGACAAAAAGUGUAAAAAGAUAAAAAAAACAAAAAACAUCAAACCAUGAAUUAAAAACCCCGACUAAGAAACUAUAGUUAAUCAUGCCCUAAUAAAUAUAGCAUAAACAACAAUUGUGACGUACACCUGUUAAAAUAUAAAAUAAAUCAUAAUAUUUUACAAAUUUUAAUUAAUAUUAACUAUCAUUCAGGUACGGAACGUAGUGCGCGUGAAAAACAAGUAUUAUAGAUUUCCCCAUUAAUAUUGUUACAAACAAAAUUAACAUGAAAUGAAAUAUAGUAUAAAUGUAAAUCUAAAAGGAAAGCAAACGUAGAAAGCAAACGUAGACCAGAAAACGAAGUAAUCUUAAAUCUUGAUAGUUUCCAAUUUUAACUUUUUUCUGUUAAAAAAAAAAAACUUCUUUCUGUUCUUUAUCCAUUCUCUCCUUUUCAGCCCACCUUUUCUAGUCAUUAUUCUCCUAUUUUCUUGUUUUGUAAAUGUCUUUUGAAAAAGAGAAAAUGAUAUUUGUACACCUGGAAGGCCGUACCAUAAAUUUGUAGUUGUUGUUUAAUAUUUGCAAAUACAUUUGAAAAAACGAAUUAUAUAGUUCUGAAAAGUAUCCAGAUUGCUUAGCGAUACCUUCUUGUCAAAUGCUUACACGCUUCUUUUGUUGUUGUUGAACAGGCCCAAGGCUUAGACAAUUAGGAGUCUUUUUUGGUUUGUCGACUUUUUUUUACAUCGUUUGUCGACUAUUAGUAUUAGCCUAUUAGGAGUCUGGAUUGGAAAGUAUAGUAGCUGAUAUUAUAUUACAAAGCGAACAUUUAUCUAAUAUAUUCACUGUAACACCCAACUUAUUAAAGCAUGACACCUUUACACCUAAGUGGAUAAGUAGGAUCGACUUCUACCCUGUGAAGUCUUUUCCGAGCUCCGUAGGGGCAUGGAUCCCUUCAUUUAUUUAUUAAUUUUUUAAAAAAUAUUUCUAAUCUUCUGGGUAAUCUUUCUUUUCUUUAUCGAGAAUCUCUUCUCGAAUAAUUCUUAAAGCACUCAAUUCUUCAACAAAGAAUCAGAUCUAAAAAAAAUGUGUUAACAUGAUUUGGUAUUAGCUUGCCAAUACAAGGCUCUGACUAUCCCGAUAUUUAUUUUACGUAAUAAAUUAUUAGUGUUUUUGGAAACUGUUCUAGGAAUAUAAAAGUGCCUAACUAAAUUACUUGGUCGUAUGACGCAAACAAUGACCCAAAACGUCUUCUCAAUCAACACUCUUCAUAUGUGCAUCUACAUGAGCACAUAUCCAUAACACUAUACUAUUCUAAGAAAAUCCUUUUUAAAAAAGAAAGAUGUUAUGCUACUAUAUAAUAGGUCAGAUAUGGUCCGACGAUGGGGCCAAAGGUUGCUUUACUUUAAGUUCUAUUAACGUCCCUAACAAUUAUUUAAAUAGAAAUUCACUUUAUAGUUUUUCAUUAAUUUGUCCCAUUAGUAAAUUCUGCGUCUCCUUGAGGCUGCUCAUGCACGUGCCGCAUGAAUCCAAUUCUAUCAACAUGUACUCAAUAGAUCAUUAAUUUUUAUUAAAAUUUAUAAUUUAUGAAAGCCGGUAGAUUUCAGUUUACGAAUCAAUGAUUCAGUCUUUCAUGUUGUUAUCAGUAGAAAACUAAUACUCCUUCUGUUCUUUAAAGAUACACUAGAGCUUGAUCCGCGCGGAUGCGCGGAUAUUUAUCUUUGGUUUGCAAAAAAAAAUAUUUAUCUUAUAUAAAUGAUAAUAUAUAUUUCAAAAAUUUAUAUAUAUAUAUAUAAAAUUAUUUAAUAUAUUUCUAAACACAAUUAUUUUCGAAUUUAUAAUGAAUAAUUUUAUUUUAUUGUUUGAUCUGUCAACUGUUACAACCCUAUUUUUAAAAUAUAACUCGUGUGUUCGUGCAAAUGUAUUUUUUAUGGAUCAAAAUUUUAAUGUAAAAUAAAAUGGUUAUCUAUUUUUAUAUUUGAUUUAUACGAUUAAAUAAUUCAAUAUAUUAUUUAAAAUUUGUGGUUUAUAUUAUGUAUUUUUAUAACACUUUUAUGUUUUUUAGACGUACUUAAUAUACCAAAAUAAAAAUAACCACCCCGUAAUAAUAAAAUCUUGUUACAUUUUUUGACAUUGAUUAAGUAUAAUUUAUUGUUUACCCAGAUUAUAGGAAACAUUUUUUAAAUAAAUAAACAUAAUUUGUUAUACUUUAUUUUAGGAAAAAUGCAUUAAUUAAACUAUAAAAGAUAAGAAUACUAAAAAGUAGGUACAUUUAUUAUUUCGGUGGCAUUCAAAUGUAAAUAACUUUGAAAACUAAGGGGUAAUUUAUAUUGGUACUUCUAUUUUAAUAAUAGAGAUAUUCUAGAAAAAAAUUUUGUUUCUAAAAAAUUCAUUUUUUACAUUUUCAAUGCAUGUUUUAUUAACUAAUUGCAAAUUUUAAAAAUCUUAAUUGCAUUAAUUGAUUUUUUAUUGGCUUAAAAUUAUGGAAAAAAAAUAAACACAAAAAAUAUGCAAAUUUAAUGUGUUUUAUUAAAAUGUGUGAAAAAACUAGAAAAUAAAUCUUUUAGAAACAGAGGAGGAAUGUUUAACCAACCUAUUAAUGUUGCAUUUACAUAUGGUGAUGUGUGUCCCAGCUAAUAAUGAGCUAUGUAAAUUAAGGCUGAUUUAUGAGAGAAUGUGUUACAAAAAAAAUGUUACAAAAAAAAAGAUUUAUGGGAGAAUUGCUAAAACCAACCCAAAUAUUCAUGUCAAACCUAAAAGUGUAUCCCACUUUCAUUCAAAUGCAAAACCAACAAAAAGAGGUGAUAAAAGUACCAUAUAACCCUUAUAACCAAACAAAAAAAUAGAAAUGUAUUUUACAAUUUUGUCAUUAAUAAGUUUACACGUAAUCGAAAGAAGUCUACAUAUAUAUAGACUUCCUAAGAAGUCUACUGUGUAGACUUAUUCUGUAGUCUACAUCGUAGUUUGAUCUAAUAAUUUAAUUUAAAAUAUAUAUAAAAAUAAUUGUUGUGAUAUUUUUAAUUAAUCAUCAAUAUAAUGAUUAAUAUGAAGUAAAUAAAUUAAAUUUUUAUAUAAUUGAAUAAUUUUAAAGAAUAUACUCUAAUUUGGUAACCAUGUGUUAAACAAUAUGGUUUAGAAACAAAAGGUUAUAACAUGUUAUAUAUUAUAGUGGUAGAUUUCUUAGGUUAGAUUUAUAUUUUUUUGUUUUGUUUUAUCGACUUAAAUUUGUAUAUUAAUGUUUAGUAGUUUAUAUUUUGUAUAAUUUGAUAUUUGAUACAAUAAUUAAGACUUUUUAUUAUAAAGCAAAACAUUUAGGGUUUGAGAUUGUGGUUUUGGGUUUCGUAGACCAACAAUAAAGUCUAUUUAGCUGCAGACGGCUUUUUGAGUCUACAUUUUUCAAUUUUUUUAACACAUUAUAUUUAAACUAAGUUGAGUUCCAUAAGAUUAAAAAGGUGAAAUUAUAUACUAUAACUAUUAAAAAAUAAAGAAAUAAAUUUAGUAAAUUAUAUAUUAAAAUUAUUAAAACAACAAAGAAUAAAAAACAAUAAUGAAAUUAUUAUAGCAGACUUCCAAAAAGGUCUACUAUGCUACAAUAAAAUCCACUCCAAAUUUUUAAUUUUAGUAGACUUCAAAAGAAGUCUACAGCGUUGUAAUUUUUUAACCUAGUUACAUUUUUGUCUCCCAAUAUAAAUAAUUUAUACAAUCUCUCUCUAAAAUGGAUGCACAAGUUUUUAAAACUCUCACUUCUCUCUAAAACUCUCUCUCUUCUCUCUAAAAUUCUCUCUCUCUUCUCUCUAAAACUCUCUCCUUUCUCUUCUUUCUCUCUAAAAUUCUCACAAUAUUAUCUUGUCAUUUUAGGUAUUAUAAUUCUUGGUUUUUAUCUUCUCCUUUAAAAAUAUAAGUUUUAGAUUUAUAAAUUUUAAAUGUGUAUUUUUAUUUUUAGAUUUAAAUGUGUAUUAUAGAUCAAGCUCUGUGCAUUUACUUUGCUACUAUUUUAUCUUAUAAAUUCAAUUUUGUAAAAUAUUUUCAGAUUUAAAAUUAUUUUACAUUUCAAAAUGUAUAGAUUUUUUCUGAUAUGAAAAUUAUCAGACAGUGUAGACUUUAAAGAAGUCUAUUUAUAAACUAAAGCUAGUAAACUUCAUAUGAAGUUUACUAAACCACAAUGUCUAAGCAGAAUUCAUUGAAAGUCUACAAAAAUAUGACUUUAAUUUUUUUUCUAUGUUUUUAAAUAAUUUUAUCUUAUUUUGCAGGUAUUUUCUUUCAUGGUUGUUCUUUUCUACUCCCAAAAAUGUAAGGUUUACAUCUAUAGAUUUUAAAUAUGCGUUCUAGUAUUUAUAUAUAUAAAAAGUUACAUAUUCAAAUUCUAUGUCUUUAAUUUAUUACUAUUUUAUCUAUUAAAUUAUAUUUUUAAAAGUUUUUUUUUAUUUAAACUUAUUUCAUAUUUUCAGUGUAUAUAUUUUUCAGAUCUAUCUUUUUUUUAUAUAGUAGACUUCAUUUGAAGUUUACUUAAAAGUCAUGGCUGGAGUCUAUUAGCCUUGACUUUUAAGCAUAUUUCAUUAGAAUUUUACUCAAAUAUGAUUUUAAUUUUAUCUUAUUUUUUAUAAUUUUAUUUUAUUUUACAGGUAUUCUCUUCUAAAAUUUUCAUAUCAUCUUCCCAAAAAUAUAAGUUUUACAUAUAUUCAUUAUAGUACAUUUUUGUGUUUAUAUUGAACUAAAUUUAUAGAUUCAUACUUUAUGUUUUUUCUUUGUUACAAGGUUGACAAAAAAUAAAACUAUUUUGAAAUAUUUUCCAGAACAAAGUAUUUUCAAAUUUUUUAAAUGUACACUUUUAGAUAUGAAAAUUUUCUGUUAGUGUAGACUUCAACUAAAGCCUACUAAACAAUAACUUUACGUAGACUUAAUAAAAAGUCUACUAAAUAUCACUUUAUCUUACUUUGCAGGUACUCUUUUCCAAGACUUUAUUUGAGACAUCAAGAUUAUGAAAAAUUAAGCACACUUGAGAAUAUUUUAUAAUAUAUUGCUUUGUAAUAAUUUCACAUAAUAAAAUAUUAAUUUGUAAAUAAUUGUUUAAUGCAUAAUCUAUAAACAUUGUAUUCAUUUUUAGUUGUGUUUCACUUAUAUGAUAUUAUUAAUUUUUUUGUUAGAUAUCAAUUUUUUCACAAGAUCUAAUCAACUAAACAAGUAAAACCACUAUAAGCUAAAACAAUAACCAACACACAUGUGAAAAGAAGGAAAUCUAUACAAAAUUCCCAAGAAGUUUCAAGAGUAAAACUAAUCACAAAUUUUUGCAAUAAGUUUCAAGUGUAUAAUUAUAACACAUUAACUUUUGAUAUUCAUCCAAGACCAUUAAAAGUUUACUAACAUACAAU